rnacentral:rRNA from 1 species
CGGAGGGUGCAAGCGUUAUCCGGAUUCACUGGGUUUAAAGGGUGCGUAGGUGGGCUGGUAAGUCAGUGGUGAAAUCUCCAGGCUUAACUUGGAAACUGCCAUUGAUACUAUCAGUCUUGAAUACCGUGGAGGUCAGCGGAAUAUGUCAUGUAGCGGUGAAAUGCUUAGAUAUGACAUAGAACACCAAUUGCGAAGGCAGCUGGCUACACGAAUAUUGACACUGAUGCACGAAAGCGUGGGGAUCAAACAGG